AUUGAACGCUGGCGGCAUGCCUUGCACAUGCAAGUCGAACGGCAGCGGGGGAGAAGCUUGCUUUUCCUGCCGGCGAGUGGCGAACGGGUGAGUAAUACAUCGGAACGUGCCCUGUAGUGGGGGAUAACUAGUCGAAAGAUUAGCUAAUACCGCAUACGACCUGGGGGUGAAAGUGGGGGACCGCAAGGCCUCAUGCUAUAGGAGCGGCCGAUGUCUGAUUAGCUAGUUGGUGGGGUAAAGGCCUACCAAGGCGACGAUCAGUAGCUGGUCUGAGAGGACGAUCAGCCACACUGGGACUGAGACACGGCCCAGACUCCUACGGGAGGCAGCAGUGGGGAAUUUUGGACAAUGGGCGAAAGCCUGAUCCAGUAAUGCCGCGUGUGUGAAGAAGGCCUUCGGGUUGUAAAGCACUUUUGUCCGGAAAGAAAUGGCUCUGGUUAAUACCUGGGGUCGAUGACGGUACCGGAAGAAUAAGGACCGGCUAACUACGUGCCAGCCGCCGCCGUAA
rnacentral:rRNA from 1 species